AGUGAACGCUGGCGGCAGGCCUAACACAUGCAAGUCGAACGGUAACACGGUAAAACUUUCUUCUUUCCGGAGGCGUGGCGGGGAGGUGAGAGGUGUCUAGCGAACUCUAUGAUUUAGGGGGAGAUCAAGUAGGGAAGGUAACUAAAAUACCAUAACGGCGCAAGACCAGAAAGGGGGGGAUUUUGGCACCUUGCGAGCGUGUAUGCGCAGAUGUCGGCUUCGCUAGUGGGCGGGGUAAAGGCCCCUCAAGGCGACGAUCCGUAGCUGGUCUGAGAGGAUGAUCAACCACACUGGAAGUGAGACACGGUCCAGACUCCUACGGGAGGCAGCAGUGGGGAAUAUUGGACAAUGGGCGCAAGCCUGAUCCAGCCAUACCGCGUGGGUGAAGAAGGCCUUCGGGUUGUAAAGCCCUUUUGUUGGGAAAGAAAAGCAGCAGGUUAAUACCCCGCUGUUCUGACGGUACCCGAAGAAUAAGCACCGGCUAACUUCGUG
rnacentral:rRNA from 1 species